GACGGAGGAUGCAAGCGUUAUCCGGAAUGACUGGGCGUAAAGCGUCCGCAGGUGGCAGUUCAAGUCUGCUGUCAAAGACCGGGGCUUAACUUCGGAAAGGCAGUGGAAACUGAACAGCUAGAGUAUGGUAGGGGCAGAGGGAAUUCCUGGUGUAGCGGUGAAAUGCGUAGAGAUCAGGAAGAACAGCGGUGGCGAAGGCGCUCUGCUGGACCAUAACUGACACUCAGGGACGAAAGCUAGGGGAGCGAAUGGG
rnacentral:rRNA from 1 species